UGAGGAGUGCCUGCAUUUACAGCUCUAA
rnacentral:piRNA from 1 species